rnacentral:rRNA from 1 species
AGCGAACGCUGGCGGCAGGCUUAACACAUGCAAGUCGAACGCAUCCUUCGGGGUGAGUGGCAGACGGGUGAGUAACACGUGGGAACGUACCCUUCGAUCUGGGAUAACUUCGGGAAACUGGAGCUAAUACCGGAUACGCCCUUUUGGGGAAAGGUUUACUGUCGAAGGAUCGGCCCGCGUCUGAUUAGCUAGUUGGUGGGGUAACGGCCUACCAAGGCGACGAUCAGUAGCUGGUCUGAGAGGAUGAUCAGCCACACUGGGACUGAGACACGGCCCAGACUCCUACGGGAGGCAGCAGUGGGGAAUAUUGGACAAUGGGCGCAAGCCUGAUCUAGCCAUGCCGCGUGAGUGAUGAAGGCCUUAGGGUUGUAAAGCUCUUUUGUCCGGGACGAUAAUGACGGUACCGGAAGAAUAAGCCCCGGCUAACUUCGUG